AUUGAACGCUGGCGGCAGGCCUAACACAUGCAAGUCGAGCGAGCGGCGGACGGGGGAGUAAUGUUUGGGAAACUGCCUGAUGGAGGGGGAUAACUCCUGGAAAAGGUAGCAAAUACCGCAUACCAUCAGCUGUGCCCAGAGUGGCUUAGGUAGUAGGCGGGGUAAGGGCGCACCGAGGCGACGCUCCCUAGCUGGUCUGAGAGGAUGACCAGCCACACUUGAACUGAGACAGGGUCCAGACUCCUACGGUAGGCAGCAGUGUGGAAUAUGGCACAAUGGGCGCAAGCCUGAUGCAGCCAUGCCGCGGGUGUGAAGAAGGCCUUCGGGUUGUAAAGCACUUUCAGCGGGAAGGCGUUACCCGCAGAAGAAGCACCGGCUAACUCCGUGCCAGCAGCCGCGGUAAUUC
rnacentral:rRNA from 1 species